UACGUAGGGGGCCAGCGUUGCUCGGAAUUACUGGGCGUAAAGGGUCCGUAGGCGGUGCGGCAAGUCGAUAGUGAAAUCUCUGGGCUUAACCCAGAGGCUGCUAACGAAACUGCCGUGCUAGAGUGUGAGAGAGGCGAGUGGAAUUACGGGUGUAGCGGUGAAAUGCGUAGAUAUCCGUAGGAACAUCCGAGGCGAAAGCGGCUCGCUGGAUCACAACUGACGCUGAGGGACGAAAGCUAGGGGAGCAAACAGG
rnacentral:rRNA from 1 species